rnacentral:rRNA from 1 species
GAUGAACGCUAGCGGCAGGCUUAACACAUGCAAGUCGAGGGGCAGCACGGUGUAGCAAUACAUGGGUGGCGACCGGCGGACGGGUGCGUAACGCGUAUGCAACCUACCUUUUACUAAGGAAUAGCCUAGAGAAAUCUGGAUUAAUACCUUAUGUUAUUAGAUAAACGCAUGUUUGUUUAAUAAAAGAUUUAUCGGUAAGAGAUGGGCAUGCGUCUGAUUAGCUAGUUGGUGAGGUAAUGGCUCACCAAGGCUACGAUCAGUAGGGGUUCUGAGAGGAAUGUCCCACACACCGACACUGAGAUACGGGUCAGACUCCUACGGGAGGCAGCAGUGAGGAAUAUUGGUCAAUGGUCGCAAGACUGAACCAGCCAUGCCGCGUGCAGGAAGAAGGUCCUAUGGAUUGUAAACUGCUUUUUUAUGGGAAGAAAAAGUUUUACGUGUAAAACAUUGACGGUACCAUAAGAAUAAGCACCGGCUAACUACGUGCCAGCCGCCGCUGUAACAC